UUCUGCCUCCAAGAGCAGCGGAAAUCUUCCCAGCGGUGGAAAGACUGGAGGAAUUUUAGAAAUGGACGGUGGGAGUGAUGUGCUUUUGGAGUGAUUGUGGCUGAGAAGUGUUUUUGGUGCUUCCCAGGGUGAAGGAAAAGGUGGUGUUGCUGGCAGUGAAAGACUGAAAGUCUGUUCCUUCUCACAGAUGAAACUCUCUCGGUGUACAGCACUCCACCUGUGCCAGAACACCUGCCCUAUAGAAGCUGUGUCCCAGAACGCAUGUUCGUAACACUGUCUGGGUCUACUGUCCUUCGACCAUGUCCUGAUUUGAUCUGCUGGUCGGUGAUUCAGCGCAGACGUUUGUAUGCGAUCUAAGGCCAAACAUGUGCUGCAUUGCCACGUCAUCUAGAGCACGGAUGCUGCCCUGCGUGUUCGUAUAUUGUACACGUGGAGCUGUUUUAGGGCAAGAAGGCCAGGAUCAGCCUCAGAUGAGUGUUAUGGGAUCACUCAUCUCGAUUCCGAUUAUCGUCAUCCGGAGAGCUUUAAAAUCAGCAUUUGAGUUCCCUCACAUGAAUAUCAUUUGCUAUAAACUUUUGUUCGCUGCACAUUAUAUUAUGAAAAAUGAAACAUUUAAGCAAUAAGCCACUCAAAGCCAUGCAAUUUUUUCGAGGUUAUUAUUAUUUUUUUAAAGCAUUGCAAUGUAAACACUGUACCCCAUUGAAUUUCAUUUUGUGGACCAAAAAACAUUUUUCUAAAUAUUUUUAAUUCCACAGGAGAAAGAGUUACACAAGAGUGAACUGACAAAAUAUUUUCUCUAUUAAGUUUAAUAGUAGAAGAAAAAAAAUCCACUAAGAAUGCUAAUAUAAUUAAUUAGGCCCACUGUAGACUGUUUAUGGUGUAGCUUAGCACAUUAAUAUCAGUGUGAGGCCACAGGUGUGUUGGAUUUAUCAGCAUUUUACAGCUAUUUAGCAAGACACAAAAUCAGAAGUUCGACUGAUGUUAGAGAGCUAGCAGUUUUUUUUUUUUAAACCUGUCUUUUAUUUGCUUAGAUUUCCUCUGUAACUUAGUUUAUUAUAAACACAGAAGGUCAGAGUAAGCCACUAGGGUGGUAGCCUACAAAUCCGAUUCUAGGUUUAGCAGAAGGAAAUGUGUGUCCAGGGCCCACCCCCACAGUGUAAUGUAACCUUGGCAUUAGUUUGAACAUUAAAUCCUUUCUGCGGCGCAUGCAGCGUAAACCUUUACUUUAUCCGUUUUACUGCAAAUUAAAAUUUUGUUGCUUUUUCCGUCUGAUUUUACGGGAAACAUCUGGGGCUCGCACCACUCCGUAACUGUGGCCCGAGGCAUUCUGGCUCAGAAGCAAGGCGGGAAUAAUGAGACAUUAUCAAACACGCUGCUUAUGGAUACACACUCUCCCUCAACACACAACCUUUUUAUUAUUCUUUUUAAAUCAAUGUGCCUCUCAUAUCUUUAAGAUUAUCUAUUAAAGAUGGGAUUUUCAAAUCUUUUUCGCGAAUCUGUUCUUUCGGCAAAAAUGAUUCACUGAUUCUUUUACAUCAUGACCCUAGGUGUAUUUAAUCGAGGCUUUGCAUAUUACUUAGGCUACUCUAAAACUUAUCAAUAAAGUAUUUUGUAGCCUCA